rnacentral:snRNA from 1 species
AGAGGUGAUCUGGCUGUGACAUCUGUCACUGACUGAUCCCCAGGGUUGCUUUGGCUGAUCUGGCUGGCUGGUAGGUGUCCCCUUCCUCCCUCAACUCUCCAAGUGUGUCCCUCUUGAAGCUGUGUGCCUGAAGAGGACAACCUUUGACCUCAAGGUACGUGAUGCGUAGCUGUGCUUCCCCACUCAAGCCUCCAAACAAGUUCUCAGGCUUAACAUUAAUAACUCAUUUUUUCCUAGCGCCUAGCUGAGUCCAUGCUGCUCAAG